ACUAAGCCAUAUCAAGUUAAAUACCCCCUAACAAGGGGCCAAACUUAUUGAAAUCAUUGGCCGUAUGUCUUCGGUUGGGGCGACCAUGGGGAAACAAAAAACCCCCACGUGGAAUGGGAGCACAUUUACUCCUACAGUCAAGAGCCGCCACUCUAACAAACAGAAUUUCUGACCAAUAACUGAUCCGGCAACGCCGAUCAACGGACCA
rnacentral:rRNA from 1 species